rnacentral:lncRNA from 1 species
GAUAUGGUAGGUGUUGUUCUAGAAGACUCUUCAUUUUCCCUUUCUCCUCUUGAGAUUUUUGAGCUUUUCUCUUCUUUUCCUCUCUCUUUUUCUUGUCCAACUCAUCUUUUUCAAUUUUUUCAUUUUCAACUAAUUUUCCCUCUUUUAUUUUUUCUACUUCAAUCUCAUCUUUUUCUCUUUCUAUCACAACUUUUUCUUGUUAAAAAUCAUCACCAAUGCCCUUGCUUUUUUUUAUACCACUUCGAGUUAGAAUGAAUUUACAAUAUUCCUUUAGAUUAUCUUGAGUAUUUGUAGAAAAUAUUCCUUUUUAUUGAUCAACUAAUUUCUUAGCUAUUCGACCAACAUGGGUUUGAAGAUUCUUGAUGGCCACAUCAU